GGCGCACGGGAGCGUAGGCCCUCGGGCCUGUGACGUACAGUCCCCUUCCACGACGUUGGAGAACAAGCCGGGCCUCGAGUCUGCAGCCUGCAUAUUCCUACUGCUUCUCUGAGCCCCCGGGCCGUUACAGAGGAGAUAAACCAUGCAGGAAACAAAU
rfam:Anas platyrhynchos breed Pekin duck contig198771, whole genome shotgun sequence.